rnacentral:rRNA from 1 species
AGAGUUUGAUCCUGGCUCAGGACGAACGCUGGCGGCGUGCUUAACACAUGCAAGUCACGGGGGCCCGCAAGGGCAACCGGCGAACGGGUGCGUAACACGUGAGCAAGCUACCGAUUUCUGGGGGAUAGCCGGCCCAACGGCCGGGUAAUACCGCAUACGUUCACUAGGCGGCAUCGUCUGGUGAGGAAACCUCCGGGGGAAAUCGAGGCGCUCGCGGCCUAUCAGCUAGUUGGCGGGGUAACGGCCCACCAAGGCGAUGACGGGUAGCUGGUCUGAGAGGAUGGCCAGCCACAUUGGGACUGCGACACGGCCCAGACUCCUACGGGAGGCAGCAGUGGGGAAUAUUGCGCAAUGGACGAAAGUCUGACGCAGCGACGCCGCGUGUAGGAUGACGCCUUUCGGGGUGUAAACUACUGUUGCCCGGGACGAAACUCCUUUUUCGAGAGGACUGACGGUACCGGGUGAGGAAGCACCGGCUAACUCUGUGCCAGCAGCCGCGGUAAUACAGAGGGUGCGAGCGUUGUCCGGAAUCACUGGGCGUAAAGGGCGCGUAGGUGGCUUGGUAAGCGUGUGGUGAAAGUCCGGGGCUCAACCCCGGAUCUGCCGUGCGAACUGCCGAGCUUGAGCACUGUAGAGGCAGGUGGAAUUCCGGGUGUAGCGGUGGAAUGCGUAGAGAUCCGGAAGAACACCAGUGGCGAAGGCGGCCUGCUGGGCAGUAGCUGACGCUGAGGCGCGACAGCGUGGGGAGCAAACAGGAUUAGAUACCCUGGUAGUCCACGCCGUAAACGAUGGGUACUAGGUGUCUGGGGGAGCGACCCCCUGGGUGCCGGCGCUAACGCAUGAAGUACCCCGCCUGGGGAGUACGGCCGCAAGGCUGAAACUCAAAGGAAUUGACGGGGGCCCG